GUAAUUUCAGUCCUGCCAGUGGGUUCAAGUUAGGGAGGUGAUAGCUACCCACAGAAACCAGAGGAGAGGGAGGAUGUUGCAGUAAAAAGCCAAACAGAAAGAGGAGAGAAUAACAUAAGACUCUUCCAUUUAGAAGCAGAGUGGUCUCUUGCUGCAAUCUGUGAAGCUGGAAACUUUUUCAUCUGCCCAAUAUAGAAAUGGACCAUGACUGAUAAGAGUGUUUCAGUACUACUCCUGUCAGACUUCACAGAAUUGAGACUAUUAGAAUGUAGAUGAAAAUCCUCUCCCUUUGUUUUUUUUUUCAAAAACAUCCAAAUAAAAAAGUUGCUUUGUAG